rnacentral:rRNA from 1 species
GACGAAGGGGGCUAGCGUUGUUCGGAAUACUGGGCGUAAAGCGCGUGUAGGCGGUUGCCCAAGUCGGGUGUGAAAGCCUUGAGCUCAACUCAAGAAAUGCACUCAGUACUGGGUGACUAGAGGACCGGAGAGGAUAGUGGAAUUCCCAGUGUAGUGGUGAAAUACGUAGAGAUUGGGAAGAACACCAGUGGCGAAGGCGGCU